AUGCCGCCGCCCCCUUUCUCCCCACUCUCCUCUGCCGCCUCCUCUCAUUCCUUGCGCCUCCGGCCUCCUCCCUCCUCCCUCUUCCUCCCUCCUCUCUCAUUCCUCAUCACGGUAGACCAUCUCCCGUCACGUAGGCCCCAUGGUCGCAGCCGCGUCGGGGUGGAGGCGCAGCAGGUGUUGGUGGAGCGGGGGAUGUGGGCGGGCUCCCGUCGCUGCUCCAUGACGGUGGCCAGUUCAAUGGGUAGCGGCAGAAACCCGUGGCGAACUUGGGAGAGGAGAGGAAGGCAACGAUCUAGCCCAUGGCGUUCAACAGAGAGUGAUGGGGACGGCGGCACUGAGCAAAGAGAGAUGGCGGCGAAGGUGGCAGUGGUGCUGAGUAGAGAGAGAUGA
rnacentral:rRNA from 1 species